UUCCCCAAUCCAAUCCAAUCGUCUUUCAUCUCCAAUCCGACCGUCUUUCGGCCUCGUCACCAUCCGCCCCUACUCCUGCCGUCUGUUCACUCUGGCGUGGCCGUCUAUUCGCUCUGACGUGCCCAUCUGUUCACUCCGGCACUGCCAUUAACGAAUGACGAAACCCCCGCAAUCCCUCCACAAUCUCCGAACCUUUUCAAUUUGUUCCCGUCUUCUCCGACGCUACCAUUUGUGCCUGCCAUCAACUCCUUUGCCGUGUGAGAUCUCUUGUUGCUUUGAAUCUUAACAACUAUGGUAGUGGCAGGCAUCAGUGGAGAAAUCUUACACCAGAGUACAUGGAAAAGGUGAUUGAUGUGUGGAGAAAACAUUGGAGCAAACACAUAUAUGUGGGAUAAUUAUGGUAUUGCUACAAUUUAAACAUCUUUUUUUAUCCUAUCAAAAUUUGGGAUUAUAUAUAUAAAGUCAUUUUAUUUGAAUUAAGAAUUUACUCGUUCUAGUAGUUAAGGACUUUGUUGGAACUUAGUAUUAAUUUUUUCAAACCUUUGAAUGUAUAUAAUGCUUUCUUUUUCUUUUUUACGUUAUAAAUUUGAAUAUUUUGGUUGUAAUUAUUAUCAUGAAUUUGGAUGAAUGUGAACUAUACCUUCUUAGUAUGGCAAA